GUAGGGAAUAUUGUGCAAUGGGGGAAACCCUGACACAGCCAUGCCGCGUGUGUGAAGAAGGCCCUAGGGUUGUAAAGCACUUUCAGUUGUGAGGAAUAAGCCGGGUUAAUACCCUGGUUUAAUGACGUUAGCAACAGAAGAAGUACCGGCUAACUCCGUGCCAGCAGCCGCGGUAAUACGGAGGGUACGAACGUUAAUCGGAAUUACUGGGCGUAAAGCGCACGUAGGUGGUUUAUUAAGUGGGAUGUGAAAGCCCCGGGCUCAACCUGGGAACUGCAUUCCAAACUGAUGAACUAGAGUACGGUAGAGGGGGGUAGAAUUCAGAGUGUAGCGGUGAAAUGCGUAGAUAUUCUGAGGAAUACCGGUGGCGAAGGCGGCCCCCUGGAUUGAUACUGACACUGAGGUGCGAAAGCGUGGGGAGCAAACAGG
rnacentral:rRNA from 1 species